rnacentral:rRNA from 1 species
UACGUAGGGUGCGAGCGUUAAUCGGAAUUACUGGGCGUAAAGCGUGCGCAGGCGGUGAGCUGUGUCCGAUGUGAAAGCCCCGGGCUUAACCUGGGAAUGGCAUUGGAAAUUGGCUCGCUGGAGUGUGGCAGAGGGGGGUGGAAUUCCGCGUGUAGCAGUGAAAUGCGUAGAGAUGCGGAGGAACACCGAUGGCGAAGGCAGCCCCCCUGGGCUAACACUGACGCUCAGGCACGAAAGCGUGGGGAGCAAACAGG